CACCACCCCGCCUCCCCCGUCCCCCUGCUCGGCCCCGGCACCUCUCUGUGCGUGGGCGGCGCGGGUUGGGCCUUCUUGUUGGCAGCGCAGGUGGGCAGAGCAGGUCUUCUGCUGCACCGCGAUCCGGGAAGGCACCGUGGCGGCCUGGUGCCUGAGACAUACACGCGCACAUCUGGAGAGGUGAAGGGAUAUUGGAAGAGAUUCUAGAAGCGUGACUAUUUAAGAGAAAUCUUUUAAUGUCUGCACCAUGAUAGGUCCUGGAGGUGCCUUGGGGUGGGGCUUUGGGAGAGGUGGUUAACAGGAAGCUUUGGAUAUUAAGGAACGAAAGAAAAGGUAAGAUCACUCACAAUUCAACAAUUCAAGAUAAAAUCCUGAAUGUCUCUAUGGCUACUUAAUACCCAGAAGCUAGGCCCUCACCUCUAUCAAGGCUACAGGCCUAUGGGUACCAGUGAGAUUUGUAUUGUAAAAAUUGGUAAAGGGAAACCUCACAGACAUGAUGUCUGGAGGCCUGCAGGGGGUGCUCCCAUGCCCAUCACUCCCGGUCAAUUGCAGACCCCCCAAGGAAGAGGACCCUUUGCAACUCUACUGUUUUGGCUACUUCACCACCCAGGAGGAGGAGGCAAGAGUUUCUGCCUCCAGCAAUACCUCAACUAAUGAGCAACUGUUACACAGCACAUGGGACUACCAGUUUCCUCCAAUGGACUUUUUGCUUAGAACACUCCCCAUUCUCUUUUGUAAGAGCCUCCUCUCUCUUCUCUAGACUGCCUAUGGCUUUGCAAUAGCUUGCUUCUCUUGAAUUGCAAUUCUCUUCUUUUCCUGAAUAGACCCAUUUUUCUGGUAAAAUAACUGACAGCUUUAUUUUUAUUUUUUUUAUUGAAGUAUCAUCAAUAAACAAUCUUAUAAUGGUUUCAAAUGUACAACACAGUGGUUCAGCAGUUACCCAUAUUAAAUCCUCACCCCCUCUAGUGUGGUUACUAUUUAUCAACGUAGAAAAAUGUUACAGAAUCAUUGACUAUAAUCUCCAUGCUAUAUACUACAUCCCUGUGACCAAACUUAUAUUGUGAUUGUGAAUUAUUGUGCCCCUUUAUCCCCCUCCCCUUCCCCUAUCACCCGUGUCAACCCCUCCCCUUAGUAACCACUACUGACUUCUUAGUGUCUAUCAGUCUAAUAUCAUUUUGUUCUUUCUGUUUUACCUUGUUUUUAUAUUCCACAAAUAAGUGAAGUCACGUGGUAUUUGUCUUUCUCUGCCUGGCUUAUUUCACUGAGCAUAAUGUUCUCUAGCUCUAUGCAUGUUGUGGCAAAUGGAAGGAUUUCUUUUCUUUUUAUGGCUGAAUAAUAUGCCACUGUGUAUAUGAACCACAUCUUCUUCAUCUUUUAUUCAUCUACUGAUGGACACUUAGGUUGCUUCUGUAUUUUGGUAUGGCAAAUAGUGCGGUGAUAAACAGGGGUGAAUAUGUAUUUUCAAAUCAGGGGUUUUGUUCUCUUUGGGUAAAUUCCUAUAAGUGGGAUUACUGGGUCAAAUGGUGUUUCUAUUUUUAGUUUCUUGAGGAACCUCCAUAUUGUUUCCCACGGUGGUUGCACCAAUUUACUCUGCCACCCACAGUGUAGGAGGGUUCCCAUUUCUCCACAUCCUGCCAGCAUUUGUCAUUUCUUGUUCAUUUUGACUAGUGUAAGGUCAUAUCUCAUUGUGGCUUUGACUUGCAUUUCCCUGAUGAUUAGCGAUGUGGAGCAUCUUUUCAUGUGCUGGUUGGCUCUUUGUAUUUCCUCUUUGGAGAAAUGUCUGUUCAGAUCCGCCACUCAUUUUUUAAUCAGGUUAUUUGUUUUUUGUUUAUUGAGGCAUAUGAGUUCUUUAUAUACUUUGCAUGUUAACCCUUAAUCAGAUGAAUCUUUUAUGAAUUUGUUCUCACAUACUGUAGUUUGCCUUUUUGUUCUGCAGGUGGUUUCCUUUGGUGUAAUCCCACUUGUUCAUUUUUUAUUUUGUUUCCCAUGCCCAAGAAUAAGUGUCCAGGAAAAAAUUGCUCAUGCUUAUGUUCAAGAGAUUUUUGCCUAUGGUUUCUUCUAAGAGUUUUAUGGUUUCUUGACUUAGAUUCAUGACUUUGAUCCAUUUUGAGUUUACUUUUGUGUAUGGAGUUAGACAAUAGUCCACUUUCAUUCUUUUGCAUGUAGCUGUCCAGUUUUCCCAACAGCAGUUGUUGAAGAGGCUGUUUUUCCCCCCCAUUGUAUAUUCAUGGCUCCUUUAUCCCAUAUAAUUAACCAAGUAUAGGUAGGUUUAUAUCUGGGCUCUCUAUUCUGUUCCAUUGAUCUUUUGUUGUGCCAGUACCAAACUGUUUUGAUUACUGUAGCUUUGUAGUAGAGUUUGAAGUUGGGGAGUGUAAUAACCCCAAGUGUUCCUGUUUCUAAGGAUUGCUUUGGCUAUUUAUGGUCUUUUGUGGUUCCAUAUGAGUUUUAGAACUAUUUGUUCUCUUUGAUUUAAAAGUGCUGUUGGUAUUUUGAUAGGAAUUGCAUUUAAUCUGUAAAUUGCUUUGGGAAGGAUGAUCAUUUUGACAAUAUUAAUUCUUCCUAUCCAUGAGCACAGGGUAGGUUUCCAUUUAUUGCUGUCUUCUUUAAAUUUCUCUCAUGAGUGUCAUACAGAUUUCAAAGUACAGAUCUUUCACCUCCUUGGUUAGGUUCCUAGUUAUUCUUUUUCAUGUACUUGUAAAUGGAGUUGUUUUCCUAUUUCUCUUUCUGGUAGUUCAUUGUUAGUAUGUAGGAAAGCACAGAUUUGUGUGUAUUAAUUUUGUGUCCUGCAACCUUUGCUGAAUUCAGUUAUUAGUUCUAGUAAUUUUUUGGUAGAGUCUUUAGGGUUUUCUCUGUAUAAUAUCACAUUGUUAUUGGCCACAAUGCUGGUUUUCCAAGGAUCAUAUCUUGGAGGCAAUGAAGAAUGAAGCCAGCAGACAAAGAGCAUGGAGCAACCAGCAAAGCGCUUUUAAUGAGUGAAAAGAGAAAGUUCCUGCUAAUAAGGAGGGGCUGGAAGAGAAGAUGCCCUCAGGGCUGUGGUGUCUGGGAUUUAUAUUGCCUCCUGCUAGGAUGAAGUCCUACUCCCCACCUCCAAUCCACAUAGAGAACUGAACUAAUGACAUCACAGCUUAUUCCUGAUUGGGUAAAAGCACAAUGCUUAAUUUGCAUAGGACAUAACCAGACCAGCUGAGCUCUAACAGUAUACUUUUGGAUGGCUGAAUUUUAUCUGCAUAGGCAUAACCAAUCAGAGCAGCUGAGGUCUAACUGGCUAAGUUGGACUGGGGCUUUUUUUUUUUGGAAACUUACAAGGGCCCUGAACUUUGUCUUCUUGUGUCCUAUUAUCACCUGCCUCAGUGUCAUCUGCAAAGAGUUACAGUUUAGCUUCUUCCUUACCAAUUUGUGUGCCUUUUAAAAUUGUUUUGUCUGAUUGCUGUGGCUAGACCCUCCAGUACUAUGUUGAAUAAAUGUGGUGAUAGUUGG